GAGCGAGGAGCGGGAGCAGGCGGGGAAAGCGGCGGGCAUAAAUUGCAGGUGCGAUCAGGUGUAUUUACCAAGUAUCAUCCCCAAUACUUUAUAUUUUCAUCCAUGAAUGGCACGCACAAGUAAAACAUUUAUUAUUUUCACAGGGAAUCACUCGGAGUCCCGGCAGUUAGUGAGAAUACGUGAGGAGAGGUGUCAUGCCCGUCGUCACGCAAACUGGGGAGGUGGGAGGGACUGAGGAGGAAGCUGGAGGACGUGCUGACAAGGCGUCAGAGUUCCUGCAGCAGCGGCGGGCGGAGUGUGUGAUCCCGCGGCUGGUGAAGAAACCUAGAGACAUUUGUGCUUCUUCGUGGCUCCUGGAGCUGCGCGGUUCUUCGUCUUCAUGUUCUGGGAUAGGGGGGUGACCUGUGUGACGCCACCACUCCUCGCCUUCCAUAUCUCCAUAUCGCCUUCCAUAUAAAAGGUAAGGACCUUUUAUAACAUCUCUCCCCUAUGUAGUUAUAUGAACGUCUUACUACUUAUAUAUACUGGUAUGCUACAUAGACCCAGGCAGCUUGCAGAGGAAUAGACGAAAGUUCAGCCACAGUGAGUGCCGCUGCCUGGCGUCCCUCGGCCCCGCGCUGUUGCCGCCGAUGCUUCCCCACUCCACCACCACUCUUGGUUUUCCUCAUGUGUUCUUGUUUCGUGUCCCUACGUUAUGCUGAGCUUAUUCCAAGGCAUAUACAAGUUGGGGUAAGUCCUACAAGUGGUAAUAAUCUAGUGGAUGGGCAUGGUCGUUGUGGUAAUAAGGGUGGUGGCGGUGGUGGUGGCGUAAUGUUAGGUCUGGUUAUGCCUUGUGCAUAGUGAUGUCGCUCGUUUUGUCAUUAUUAUAGUUUGUUUCCAGCAUAUACGGCAAGCAUAGUUAACUGGGUGGUGGUAUUAUCAUAAUUCUAAUGGCUAUGUGAUGAAAGAGCCGGUGAUUUGCCAGGCGGAAGGCGGUGGCGCGGCGAGGACCAGCUGGCUGUGUAACAUGACUUACCGCUAUGGACUUUCCACCUUCCUAGCCUCAUUACCUCAUUACUCUUAUUUCCUCAUCUGUUUUAUGACACGCAUCUAAUACAUUGCCACCCCUCACUCAGGUUCUUAAGGAGUUUGAAGAGAAUGAAAGCCAAAUAGCGCUGAUAAUCCAGGUGGCGGCGGCGUCGAGACAUAGGAAGGUGGAGGGAGGAGAGAUGCUUCAACGCCGGGCUGCCACACACCGCGCGCAUCAUAUUUUAUUUUAUGCAUUACGCUACAUAUGUAUGUUCAUUAUAUACAGGUGGUUGGAGUCUUUAAACAAGAUGCUGAUGAGUACUUAAGGUCAUUUAAAGAAAUAGCGGGGAAUUAUAUUAAAAGAUCCCGUGACUUGACCGAGUGACGUCAAGAUGGCGGAGAAGAGAGCCGGGAGAGUCUUGCUGGAGCUGGCGCUACCUCUCCUUGUUAUCCUAUUGUAUUUACCUAAUCUUUAUUUUAUUACCUCCUAUCUGCGUUUCCUCAUUUGUUUAUAACUUAAGAGACAUUUACAUGUAGUCAUUUCUCACUCAGUGUAUCAGUUUCAAGAGUAAAAUCACGCUCAUGCUGGUGAUGGUGGCGGUGGCUUAAGGGGAGGGAGCUGGGUGAGCCUGUGUGUGGAAGUGCUCGCUCCCUCCCACCACUCUUACGGUUUUAAGGGGUUUAAGAAGUGUGAUUUAUUUUAUGUAGUGCAUGUGUGGAGGUGGUCGGAUGUGUACGCGAUGAUUUAACUUUUUUCAAUAGAUGAGUGAGUGCAUAACAUUGGCGUCAUCGAGGGACACCGGCGAGGGAACACCAGUUGUCCUCGCCUCACUCGGAAGGUUAGGGAGGUUUGCACUGAUGUUCAUCUUUUUUUUCAGCAACUUAAUUUCUUUUUGGACUCUUAAUAGUUAUUGAAGUGACUGAAGUGACGGAAGUGUACCAGCCCAUGUGAAGUCUUCUCCUGGCCCUCGGUGAAGCCACGCAGUUUACGAGUGGGUGGUCUGGGGUCCAUUUGCCUGCCACGGGGUCGAGAGGCUGUCAAAUCGCGCAGGUAAAUAAAUAGAUGGGAUAUGCCUUGAUAAUUUGUCAUGAGAUAUAGUUAUGUAAUGUGAUGUGAUGUGCCUUUUGCUUGUCCGCUAAAUAACACUGCAACCUUGUCUUGGAGUUUCUCUUCAGCUUAGUAGUGUCUUGUCUGGGAGUCUUUGCCUGCCACGGAGCCGAGACGCAGUGGUGGGCCCGGUUAGCCAGUGAAGUGCUGGCCACGACGGAGGCGCAGGGUUGCCGAUAUUCAGGUGGAUGUGGAAAGGUCAGCCCACAGAGGUCAUCGCGGAUUUGUGUUCAGUUUCUAGACUUCUGGCGCCCUUGUGGAUUGAGGGAGAGGGGGAUGCCUUAGACACUUGGGUGCAGUGAGGCCUCGGAUGCUUUUCACCUUCCCAAGACCAAAAGUGGCGUAAUCACACUGAGGAGGAAAUAUCUGCGUUUUCAUUAACCCGCAAGGAGCAGCAAUGGGAAAGGCAGACGCUGGAUCCCUACCUAAUAGUAAGAGCUGUUUGUCAUUGUUACUUUCAUCGACUGCUUCUGGUAAAGGUAUUCUAGUUACAA